CCUACGGGAGGCAGCAGUGAGGAAUAUUGGUCAAUGGGCGGGAGCCUGAACCAGCCAAGUCGCGUGAGGGAAGACGGUCCUAUGGAUUGUAAACCUCUUUAGGCGGGGAGCAAUGCCGGGCACGUGUGCCCGGAGGGAGAGUACCCGCAGAAUAAGCAUCGGCUAACUCCGUGCCAGCAGCCGUGGUAAUAGGGAGGAUGCGAGCGUUAUCGGUAUUUAGUGGGUUUAAAGGGUGCGUAGGCGGAUUUUUAAGUCAGCGGUAAAGUGUCCGGGCUCCAGCCGGGCCGGCCGUUGAAACUGGGUAUCUUGAGUGGGCGAGAAGUAGGCGGAAUGCGUGGUGUAGCGGUGAAAUGCAUAGAUAUCACGCAGAACUCCGAUUGCGAAGGCAGCAUACCGGCGCCCGACUGACGCUGAGGCACGAAAGCGUGGGUAUCGAACAGGAUUAGAUACCCGGGUAGUC
rnacentral:rRNA from 1 species